AUUGAACGCUGGCGGCAGGCUUAACACAUGCAAGUCGAGCGGGGGAAGGUAGCUUGCUACCGGACCUAGCGGCGGACGGGUGAGUAAUGCUUAGGAAUCUGCCUAUUAGUGGGGGACAACAUCUCGAAAGGGAUGCUAAUACCGCAUACGUCCUACGGGAGAAAGCAGGGGAUCUUCGGACCUUGCGCUAAUAGAUGAGCCUAAGUCGGAUUAGCUAGUUGGUGGGGUAAAGGCCUACCAAGGCGACGAUCUGUAGCGGGUCUGAGAGGAUGAUCCGCCACACUGGGACUGAGACACGGCCCAGACUCCUACGGGAGGCAGCAGUGGGGAAUAUUGGACAAUGGGGGGAACCCUGAUCCAGCCAUGCCGCGUGUGUGAAGAAGGCCUUAUGGUUGUAAAGCACUUUAAGCGAGGAGGAGGCUACUUUAGUUAAUACCUAGAGAUAGUGGACGUUACUCGCAGAAUAAGCACCGGCUAACUCUGUGCCAGCAGCCGCGGUAAUACAGAGGGUGUGAGCGUUAAUCGGAUUUACUGGGCGUAAAGCGUGCGUAGGCGGCUUAUUAAGUCGGAUGUGAAAUCCCCGAGCUUAACUUGGGAAUUGCAUUCGAUACUGGUGAGCUAGAGUAUGGGAGAGGAUGGUAGAAUUCCAGGUGUAGCGGUGAAAUGCGUAGAGAUCU
rnacentral:rRNA from 1 species